AUCAGGAACUGCAGGAGAUGCUGUCUCCAUCAAGAGUAAGGCAGCAGGUUCACCUCCCGUCUCCCUAGAGUUGCGCCUGGCUUUACUUUCCUUUCGUAAGUAUUUGCAUAGCAUUGGUAGAUAUAUGUUUCAUAUAAAUAUAUAUAUUAUGUAUGUAUGUAUGUGUGUAUACAUGUAAACAUACACACACACAUAUAUAUGUGACUGUACUGUAUAUGAGGUUAAUUUAUCACAUACAUGUAUUUCAGACCAUCUGCAAAUUGUUGAGCGUUCUUCACCACGUCCACCUGAGGUUUCCCUCCAACAGCCGGCCACUGGUGUCCAGGAACAGGGAUCCACAGAAGAAACAGGAGAUUCUCUACCUGGGGACGCUCGGCCAUGAUACAUGUAGUGAAGGUUAGAAGGAAAGGGGGGUGAUCACAAAGAGAUGCACAGAGGGCUGAAGAGGCACAAAGAGACACAGAAAGGGUUUGGGGUGGAACAAAGACGCAUAAAUAAUGUCACGGGCCGCCUGGCACCCCAACCGGGUACCUCCACCAAUCGCUGCUUCCUAGUAAUCCUUGAGUACCAUAAGCGGCGCACCAGACACCAUAACCACCGUAAACCCCACAAACCACCGCAGCUUGGCUGGGGUCUUGCUGUCCUCCACCCNNNNNNNNNNNNNNNNNNNNNNNNNNNNNNNNNNNNNNNNNNNNNNNNNNNNNNNNNNNNNNNNNNNNNNNNNNNNNNNNNNNNNNNNNNNNNNNNNNNNACCAUGGGCCCAAGACCAGCUUUCAGUGGGUAGACCUCUCCUAGUCCAGACAGCAAAGCAGGCUGCUCUUACAAGAGCAAGUGUUGUGAUCCAAGGGAGUAUAGUGAUUAUAGCAAUCCACAGAGUGUGAAUAUAGCUCCCAAUCCCCUAAACAUGAGCCUAGACUUCAUGAAUGGGUCAAGCGUUCUGUUUAAUGGGAGCCACACAAGGCCUUUUAUGUCAGGCCCCAUGCAAAGGAUUUCCUCAAACAUAUUCCAGGGGCAUUCCCCACUGGACCUGAGAGUAGACCAUAACAAAAACAUACACAUGAUUACAUUGGCUCUCAGGUCCAGGACACUUCCACACCAAAUAAGAUAAUCCCUCCCCUGUGCCUGGGAGAUAAUUGAGUCAGGAACUAUACUAAACUCAAUUAUUUCCAGGCACAGAAAACAUACAUUUUACAAUACAUCAAAAGUACCCCAAAAACACAUGGAAACCCCACAAAAGUCAUAUCCAGCAUAUCCAAAAUUCACACAGAUCGGUUCAGGGGUUCGGGAUUUCAAUGGAAGUCAUAAUUUGACCGACCGCACAUGAGGCACCUGCCCAAAACAGUUCCAGAGAAUCAAGGCUAGUUUGGUAGUUUAAAAAAUGAAAAAACUACAGAACAUAUUCAAGAGUCUUACCCUGGAGCUUAUUCACCUUGUUCGUGGGAACGUUUUCACCCAACAGUGCCCUUCUAAGUUAUGUAGAACUGAACGCAGGUGAUCAUGGAAGUCCAUCGGUGUUCAGGAAUUUCAGUGUUCGAAAACAGUUCCAUGAACUCGACGAGCAAACACCGCUGCCUGCGUUCACGGGAACAAUAUGGCCGCCACCUCGCGGUCGUUCAUGCGAACAGUGGCCACCCAGACGAACACUUCGAACACUGCAGUGGUAGUGCUACAAACUGUCAAUAAGGCUUAACAUGCUCCCGGGUGGUCUCUGUUUGUGCGCCUGUUCGGUUCCCAAACCAAAUAUAAAAUACCAUGAACCAAGUCUGUUUUUUAAAGGACCCAUAGUCUUUUGGCAGGAGGCUGGCAAGCAGGCCCCUCCAAAAACCCAUGACAAGGUUCCGUUCAUCACAAAUAUACUUAGGCAUUAUAUUAAAUUAAUAGCAUGACUGCAUAUAUCUUAUUUAUAAGUUUUAAUAAUAUUGUUGUACAGAUAAUAGUUAGCAUUGCAACAUAUGACAGAUGCUAACAAUGUUCUUUCUCUGUUCUCCCCUGUAGGUUCUGAUGGUGCUUUCCACCUGCAAGAGGAGGGUACCAUCAUUACCCUUACAGCAGUGGAUACUGGUUUCAUGGAGCCGAUCACAUCAGUGGCCGAAGAUACGCCGUCGCCACAACUUCCUCCAUAGUUGGCUGCGCUGUAUGAGAUGAUGAAGACUUGGCAAGCUCAACUGGAGACGUCCAUACAGCAAGAUAGGGACAAUCAGCGAGAACUCUUGGAGAAUGUAAUAACUGAGGUAUAUUCAAAUAUAUGCAGAUGACACAAAAAGGUAUCAAAGAUCUACAAUAAAAAAGAAAAUGGCAAGCAUAGUGUGACCUGUAAAAGUUGUAAAAUAAUAGGAUAGGUUUGGACUAUAAUUUCUACUGACAGUACCUGUUAUUUGGCUCUACUUCCAUUUCCUUUUGUAGUGUAGAAAAACCAUGCACAGGAUAAAGACCAUGUCACAUAGUCUGCAAAAAUCAGAAGAUUAUCAAAGUUACAUGUAAAAGGGGAUGAUUUUGGAGCAAAGAAAUAUGGAAAGGGGAUGAGGAGUCUUUCCAGGCAGCCGGAACAAACAGAGAAGCAAUGGCUGGCUCCUAGGUAAGAGUUCCGAGGAGCACUGCCCACUGCUGAUUGCUGGUUGCUGUGGUCGGAAUGAAUACUACACAUGUGCAAUUCGUUUCGAACCGGGGUCCCCCCCCGGUGGGGGCCCUAAAUACUAAUAGAGGGGGGGACCUAUUGUCCUCCCCCCGGCCCCCACCCCUGAGCGGUGGGUGGGGGCCCUAAAAAUACCAAUAAGGGGGGGACCUAUUGUCCCCACCCCCAGCCCCCACCCCUGAGCGGUGGGUGGGGGCCCUAAAAUGAACAAUAAGGGGGGGACCUAUUGUCCCACCCCGGCCCCCACCCCUGAGCAGUGGGUGGGGACCUUAAAAUGAACAAUAAGGGGGGGACCUAUUGUUCCCCCCCACCCCUGCACGGCGGGUGGGGGCCAUAUUGAUAAUGAGGGGGGGACCUACUGCCCACCCCGGCCCCCACCCCUGCGUGGCGGGUGGGGGCCAUAUUGAUAAUGAGGGGGGGGACCCUAUGCCCCCCCCCCGGCCCCCACCCCUGCGCGGCGGGUGGGGGCCAUAUUGAUAAUGAGGGGGGGGGACCUACUGCCCCCCCCCGGCCCCCACCCCUGCGUGGCGGGUGGGGGCCAUAUUGAUAAUGAGGGGGGGGACCUACUUUUUACACAGCGUGGGAAAGUUCUUUGGAAUUUUCCCACGCUGUGUAAAAUGACACAGAGCACAGUGAUUGGAUGGCUUUCAAGCAAUCCAAUCACAGUGCCCUGUGUCAUUUUACACAGCGUGGGAAAGUUCUUUUGAAUUUUCCCACGCUGUGUAAAAUGACAAAGAGCACUCUGAUUGGCUUAAACCCACCAAUCAGAGUGUUCUUAGCCUAAUUGCAGGGCGUGGCAAGGCUUUAAAAGCCUUCCCCCGCCCUGCAGAGCUCAGUCUGCGCGGAGCCCUCCAUUGGUGAAGAUGGAUUAUUUUUUUGCGCUCGGGUUUUUUUUUUUUUUUUAGUUCGACGGUUAUGUUGGUUUUUUAUUUGGCCUUUUUUGGGGCUGAAAAAUGAAGAUUUGAGAAAAAAGAAGACGUCGAAUGGUAAGUUUACUUUUAUUUUACAGGUUAGUUAUUUUAUUCCCCCCUCACUAUUUUAUAGGGUGAGGGGGGUAGGAAGGGACUUUUUAUUUGGGGGGGGUGGGUGACUAGGGGCUUGGGGACCCCUAGUCACCUUGUGGGGGGGGGGAAAUUUACUUAGGGCCCCCACCCACAGCCCUGGGGUGGGGGCCGGGGGGGGGAGGACAGUAGGUCCCCCCCCCAUUAUGUUUUAUGGCCCCCACCCGCCGCCCAGGGGUGGGGGCCAGGGGGUAGAGGACAGUAGGUCCCCCCCCAUUAUCUUUAUGGCCCCCACCCACCACCCAGGGGUGGGGGCCGGAGGGGGGGUGGACAGUAGGUUCCAUUGCCAUUGGACUCUGUCGAACUCCUUCUCUGCGUCCUGGGAAAGGACCAGAGAAGACGUUUGAGAUCUCUCAGCCUACCAUAUUAAAUCGACUCGCCAUGUAUUUUCAUAUAGUUGUCUUGUGGGGACAAAGCCCACUUGGUCUGCGUAGAUGCAUUUGGUGAGGAGGGGAUUCCAACGGGGGGCCAGUAGUUUAGCAUAGACUUUCAGAUCACAAUUUAUGAGGGAUAUGGGGCGGUAAUUGGCUACAUUUGCACUAUCUCUUCCCGGCUUGGAAUGAGGGUUAUGUCUGCCGUCGAAAGGUCUGGGUUUGGCGUCUCUCCCUCCGUCCACUGAUACAUUUUGGCCAGGUUGGGUAUUAGGUUUUCCCUAAAAGCCUUGUAACAAGCACCGUCAAACCUGUUGGGUCCUGGGGCUUUGUUCCCUUUUAGCCCUGUUAUGGCUCAUUAAACUUUGUCUAAUUCGAUAGGUGCAGCCAGGGGUGCAGUCAGUUCCUCUGAGAGCAGCGGGAGUUGGGCCUUGUCUUUGCUACAUAAGUGCUGUUGACUCCAGUCAAUGUGGGAGAGUGGCUAUAUACUGUGGUAAAGAAUUGUGUGAAUUCUGCGUUGAUAUCUUGGGGGUUAUUAAGGACCGCUCCCUGGGGUUUUUUUAUGGCAGUUAUGAAAGAUGUGUUGCUUUUGGGUCUUACGGCCCAUGUAAGGAGUGUGUCCAUUUUUUUGGACUUUUCUCUGCUCACGUCGUCUAUCAUCAAUUCCCUGAUCAGUCGCCUAAUUUCCCUCAAUUCCAUGGUCGUGGUUUGGGUUACUGUCUGCUUAUGUUGCAUUUCUGUUUUUCUUAGUUGUGUUUGGAGGUCUGGUGUUAAAAUGAAACUGCUAGGGUUGAGGGCAGGGGAUGGUAAACGCGGGAGAUGGGACGGAGGACAAGCCUCAGUAAGGGAGAGGAUCCGAUCUACCUGGGAUUUAAGCUCCAACAGAGAACACAAGAGAUGACUGUAUAUCUCACUUAAUUCUCGGCACUCGCAUGCCUCUGUAACCCGCUGUCUAUUGGAAGCAGUGAGGCAUAAGACAUGACUGGGGUUGCAGGACCGACAGACAAUAGCGCUUGGCCUUGAGUAGACCCUCUUCCCCCCGAGCUGGCCAUACCUGGACUACCACACCCCUGCCAUGGCCCACUCCUGGCAUUGGAAUACCCAGGCCCCUAACACCACAACCCUCUGAGUGAGACCGUAGGCUGUUUCUCUAUCGGUGUACAUAGUGGCUCCCAGGUCCCCUUAAGUUCCACUGGGCUAGAUACCUCGCCCCUACAGUUCCGGUCAAUGGCUGAAUAUCUAUCUAUCUAUCCAUUUGUACAAUCUCAGUUCCCUGUUUUCAUUUUUUUAUGUGGGUUUUUUUGUUGUUGUUUUUAUUUAUUUAUUUAAUUAAUUUUUCAACAACAACAAAAAAGCCCAAGAAAACAUUAUCCCUGUCUUUUUUCAUUUUUUUGUGGGAACUAGAUUAUGUAUGUAUCAGUGUUGAUUAGUGACAAGCUAUCAGUGUACACCAUUUAACUAACACGUUUCCCUCGGCACAUCCCAACGCCUUAUUUCUCACCCCCCAUCCCACUGGCUUCACUCAAUAACCCCGUUCGUGUCUCUGCAGACAAGGUCUGCAUUUCUACUCCACUAUGUCAAUAACAUCGGUAACUCAACCCUGGUUAAUUUCCAACAACUUAACCCCAAAAUGGCAAUCGUUAAACCAUAACAUUAUGAGAUGAUAACAUAGCUUAUGUGCGGCAUGGUCCAUAGGCCUUUCAACUGUGUCAAAUUUUUGGUCUGCAGCUCAGGCCGGUCGGAGGCUUCGGUCUUCCCAGUCUGCCGGCAAAGGUGCAUGUGUCCCUGUACCGCUGGACGGAAGGUGCAUAUCGUCGGGGACUUCGAUAUCCAGAUCUUUCAGGAACGUGGGUAUGUCCAUAGAGGCAGCAGCACCGAUAGUUUUGGGCCGUUGAACACCAGGAUCUUGAAUGGGUAACCCCAUGCAAAACGGAGACUUUUCUUUCGCAGCAGGUCGGUUAUUGGUUUACAUUCCCACCUCCAGAUGAGUGUGGCCGGGGCGACAUUCUUGCUAGAGAUCUGUGAUUCUGUGUACGAGCUUGUUGGUGAGGGUUGCGGCUCCAUUGUGGGCCGAAACCAUGUGCGCCAUGCGCUGCUCGAUCAUUGUGGUGCAGGCCCCAAUGACGGAGAUUUCAGCCUUUACCUACGAGGCCGUGCGUGCAGUUUUAGCUGCAAGGUUCCCUUUCACUGCCAAGGAAUGUAGAAUGCGCUGGAGGAGGCCUCUGAGGGAGUACCUUUGGUGUAAAUCAAGCUGGCAGGGCCCGGUGAUUCCGUCCCACUGGGACUUGAGUCCACUGGCGAGCCAUGUGCGGUAGGCCUCUGCGCGGUAAGCAUGUCGGCCACCGAUAGAGCUUCUUUGUGGCUCUUUUUGGCAGGCUUGCAGCUGGACAUCCGUACCAGAGCGUGGUCCUCGGCUUGGCUUUAUGCAGGGAUGGGUUUCUGUGCCUUUUGUGUGGGUUGGAGCUGAUUACAGGGCGAUAUUAUCAACUUUGGGUGCAGAGCUCUGACUCUAUGCGGCCAUCACGGUCGGUGGUCAAAUCACGCCCCUAUUUUAAUACAUUUUUAUUGUAUCAAAAAUAUUGUUUUGGCAUCACUCUGUUAUAACAGAACAGUAUAAUAUGAUCCAUUUUUGGUUUAAUCUUUAUACUUUUUAGUUGUUUUGCUUUUUUAUUUAUUUGUUUUGAUAUAUAGAUAACUUUUCCUUUACAUUUAAGCUUUUUUAUAUCCUAUAUGUCUUGACAAAGUCUACAAGGAUAAAACUAAACACAUAGACAUAAGGUUUAUAAAAAAUCAUGACACCACGCUCCUGGCUGUAUAGUGUAAUCACGUGCUCCACAUCAGCCAACCUAGCGGACAGCACUUCAACAGUAGUCAACUUGUACUCUUGUGCUAAGACAAGAUAUGAUAUUAUUAUUAAAAUAAUAUAAAACGUUGUCUAGUACAGAAUAAUGAUUUUGUGUAGUUCAAAAUAUAUAUAAUAUAUUUAUGUUGAGAUAUUCUGUUUAUAUGCAUUUUCUGGUACAAAGUAACAAAAAACUUUAUAUUCUAAUUUUCUUUUGAUAAUUUUAUUGAAAAAACAUUGAUAUUUUUGGAAAGUUAAACUAAUUUUAAAUGUGGAAUCAUAACAUGAAUUUUUAAAAAAAUAGUUAUAAAAAAGUAACUUACCUUGAAGCCAACACUGCCCUUAUACUCAAACCCGGCAAAGACCCCUCACUAUGUGGAAGUUAUAAUUCCCUCUCCUUCAUCAAUAUUGACCUCAAACUUUUUACCAAAAUACUAGUUACUCCAUUGCGCUCUAUUCUUCAGGGGCUAUUCUAUUCUACUGCGCACUAAUCUUCAUCUCUCAAAAUACUCUAAAAUCGAAGCCGAGAAGGAAUUCGACAGGAUGGACUGGUCCCUGCUCAUGACGACCCUGGAGGCAAUAGGUUUUGGCCCCAAUUGGCUACAAUUGAUGAAAGCCCUAUACUCCACCCCCAUUGCUAAACACUGCAUAUAUAUGCAACUCUCAUCUCCAGUUCUCAUCUGAAAUGGCAUGAGACAGGGGUGCCCUAUGUACCCUCACCUUUUUGUUCUCAUCUUGGAAGCCUUUUUACAGGGAUUCUAAACUGCAGGAAACAAAUACAAAGUCACGGCCUUUGCCAAUGAACUCCUCUUCACAGUGACAAAGCCCCACACAACCCUAACUCACAUACUACAAGAAAUAAAUAUAUGCAAUCGGGUCUCUAACUUUCAAGCCUGGCAGCCCAGGGGUUAAAAAGGGGGGGCGAGGGCCGGUAGCCAGGAGGGUAGAAGUGCCAGGAAGGCCCCUUAGGCCUAGUAGGAGAGGGGGGUGGGUUGGCAUUGGGUAUUGGUAGGAGGUCUAGGUGCGCAGGGCGGUCAGGGCCGAUUAGGGAUGAUGGGGCUGUGGCUAGUCAGGAGGAUUCGAGGAAAGGGGGCUCUUCUAGCUGGGGGGACCACCAGGAUGGGGGUCUUCCCACGCAGGUAAGCUGUUAUCUAGGCGCAGUCCUGGGGGGGUCCGAGUUGGGAUCUAGCAGCAGUAGCCCGUCACCUGUUAGGACCCGGGGAUCCGGGGGGGUUAAGGUGAGGACCAGGUGCGCUAGGUCCACAUCUGGUAGUUCAGGAGGGGAUAGGGUCAUGACCCCCCAGGCAUGGGUGAUGGGGGCAGGCGUCUGGUAGGGACGGGAGGAGUCGUAGUCCCAGAGGCAGGGCCGCUCUGGCCUUAGGUGGACGGCAGAAAGGGACCGCACGGCGGGAGGCUUUGGUGUCUAGCAGGCGCUCCCAUGGUCGGGACGGGGGGGCAGCACGGGAUCAGUACGCCCUGCCCAGGAUGUCUUCCCCUCAUUACAGGUCUCGGAACCACUCCACUUCUGCAGUGGCCAGGCACCGGAUUAGCUCCCCGGUCGGAGGGUCGUUGGCGGAUGCCGCUCAUCCUGGACAUGGGACAGUUAACAACGCAGCCCCGGGGUUCCAGGAAUGAGGGGCUUGGCUGGUGAGUCCUGUGCAUCUUUGCAAUACAGUACGCUAGUUCACACACUUCAAGCGCUUCUCCACUCACUGGGAGCGGGGGGUGACACGGGGGGCGGUGUGGGUCAAGUAUGGGCACAAUGGGCUGGGGUAGCGUGCUCUAACGAGGUUACUUCCGCGGGGCAGAGUUCGGGCGGGGAUACCGCGACGUUGGUUACCAGGGCGGACACGACGAGCGAGUGGGCAGAGUUGGCUGGGGGGCUUCCUGAUGCGGCCAGGCAACACGCAUACGUGUCAUUUGCGGGUCCACUGGGAGUUCACCUCAAGCAGGAGGUGAAGGAUAAGAUCUGGAAAGGCGAAUUCUGCGAGAUCUUUUCUCUUCUCCCUUUGGAAGACUUUAUCGACCUCAAGAAGGAGGAUAAGAAAGACGAGAAGAAAGAGGAGGAGGAGAAAAGGAAGCGGUAUCCUAAGAUACCAAAGUCUUUCGGUAACUGGCUAAGGGCGUUUUGCGCGUUGACCAGCAUUCUGGGCGGAAAAUUGCUGGGUUUAUGCUCCUCCCUGGAAAAUUGCUGGGUUUAUGCUCCUCCCUGUUUUGUUAUUGGAUGGAAUUUGGGAGGCGUACCGCACCUAUGGCAGACUGGCAUGGGGGCGGUACGACAAGCAGUUCAGGCAGCGUUUGGGAGGUGGGAUCAAAUGGACCUACCUCUCUGGAUGAAGCUGAUGAUGGCGCAGAAGGCGCGGUCCUUUCAGUCCUCGGCCGGCGCAAAGGGGCAGUCCGCCUUGUCAGCCACCUUGCAAAAGGGCUUAUGCUGGCUUUUCAACGAGGGCCAGUGCAAAUGGGGUAACACCUGUUGCUUUAAGCAAGAGUGCUCAGGCUGCGGAGGCACCCAUGGGCUCAACCGGUGCUUCAAGAAAGGAAAGUCGGGGUACGCCAGAGUCCCCGCCGCAGUUGGGAGGGUGGAGGGGCUUCACUUGCCCCGGGGCCUAACCCCGGUGAGGCUAGACGCGAUGGAGCCGUGGCUAAGCCGCUACGGUAAUAGGGCGAAUGCCGCGGUGAUCCGGGUGGGGUUCGGGCAGGGGUUCUUUAUCCCUUUCCUGGACAGGGAUGGGACGGGGGUCCUGCGCAACCUUAAAUCAGUACCUGAGUUUCCAGGAGUGGUGCAGGAAAAAAGUAAAGAAGUCAUGUUGGGAAGGAUGGCGGGCCCGUUCCCGGCGCCACCGUUGGAGGGCCUAAGGGUUUCCCUGCUUGGGGUGGUCCCCAAGAAGGAACCGGGGAAGUUCAGGCUCAUUCACCACCUCUCCUACCCGAAGGGAGAGUCGGUGAAUGAUGACAUUGAUAGCGAUCUGUGCUCAGUCUCCUAUGCAUCAUUCGACAGGGCGGUCGAGCUGGUAAGGAGGGCUGGGCGCGGGGCACUAAUGGCUAAGGUGGAUAUUGAGGCAGCAUUUAGGCUGCUUCCGAUCCACCCAGCGUGUCAUCACCUGCUGGGGUGUUUCUUCGAGGGGGCGUACUUUGUGGAUUUAUGCCUCCCAGUGGGUUGUUCAAUCUUAUGCUCCUGCUUUGAGAAAUUCAGUACUUUUCUCGAAUGGGUGGUGCGGGUUGAGGUGGGGAGUGGAGCGGUUGGGAUGAUUGGGAUGCUAAAUUUUGCAUGCCAGGUGAUCCCAAUGGGUAGGGUCUUCAACCGUAGCUUGUCGGCAGCGACGGCGGGGGUGCGAUCCCCACGCCAUUCCAUGUGGGUAUCGUCAGCCAUGAGAGUCGACUUGGCCAUAUGGGAUGCCUUCCUGCUGGAUUUCAAUGGGACGGUGUUCUUUAGGCAGGAAGGCGGUAGGAAGGUGGUAGAACUGGAGCUGUUCACUGACGCGUCAGGUAGCAUAGGCUUCGGGGCUUACUUCGGGGGUAGAUGGUGUGCGGAGUGGUGGCCGGAGGAGUGAGGACCGAGUCCCCUCAUGCGUAACCUGGCUUUCUUGGAACUGUUCCCGCUAGCCGUGAUGGAUAUGUAGGGGGAAGGGCUGCGGGACCGGAAGGUGGUAUUUUUCUCGGACAACAUGGCCGUGGUGCAUGCAGUGAAUAAUCAAUCGGUGGUGUCGAAGCCCGUGGUUAGGUUGCUGCAGCACUUUUUAAUGCGCAUGAUGCCAAAUGUAGUUUUUCGCGCGCACCAUGUGCCUGGGUUCAUGAACGAAGUGGCUGGCACUCUAUCUCGUUUUCAGUGGUCCCAAUUCCGGACAGUGGCGCCGGAAGCACAGGAAGCGGGGCAGGCGUGCCCGGAUGAGAUAUGGCGGCUAGGUGUGUCCUGCUUGGGGGACUUGUGAAGGCUUCGCUGGCACAAGCCACGUGGGCCCCAUACCGUAAGGUCUGGGAGUCAUGGGAACGGUCAUGGAGAGGGCUGGACCGCGUACUCGUGGGGGGAUCGCUCACAGAUGCGUUUCUCUGGUACACCUGUCAAUUUCUGGCAAGGGGGGCAUCCCCAGCUGUGGUUGACAGGUCCAUGGCGGCGAUGGCUUUCUGGUUUAAGCUACACGGGAAGGAGGAUAUUACUAAGACCUUUGUCAUUAGGCAGGCAUUAAAAGGGUAUCGGAGGGGCCGCAGGCUUCCUGACACUAGACGCCCGGUAUCGGUGCGAGUGCUAGGGGAUCUGGUCAGAUUGUUGCCAGAAAUGUGCUUCAACAGGUUCGAAGUGUCGCUGUUCCAGGCAGCGUUUCUGUUGGCUUUUAUCGGAGCUCUCCGGUUAGGGAAGUUGGUGAGUGCCACGCGAGCGGAGGCCGGGGGCCUACAGGUGUCGGGGGUCCGAGUGCUGGAGGGGAAAUUGACCCAUGUUUAUUUGUUAAAUUAUUAUUAUGGUUAUUAUAAUUAAUAAAUUGUUAUUAUUCAGGAUUGUUUAAAUAAAGCUGCUGACAAAUUUUCCCAUAUACCUGCGUGUCAGUGCGUUAUUGGGUUAGGUAUGUGGGGGUUGUCUUGGAAUCCGACUGUCGAUAUGGCGACUAUACACCGCAUGCAGUGUUUGGCGUCUACAAGCAUACAGUCAUGGGAAAAAGAAAUUUGAAUUCUAUGGUUUUACAUAUCAGGACAUAAUAACAGUCAUCUAUUCCUUGGCAGGUGGUGUAUCUCAAGACUGAAAAAUACGUAUAUAGAGUAAAUGUGCGCAAAUUCAUUAAAUGCGUAUAUACUUAAUCAUUCAACAGCAUAUUCUGGUAAACUGCAAAGAGAUAAAACAAAAUACAGUAUUUAUUUAUUACUGGUAUUAAUACAACACAAUAUAUUUAAUAGAUGAUAUACCAGGGGAAUACAACAAUGUGAGGCGUCUCAUAUAAGUUUUCCAAUAUAUAUGUUUUCAUUGAUUCAUUUUUAUUAAACGUGGCACUUCUACACACUGUCAAAAUAAAUAAAUAACUAAUGACAAAUUCUAGACACACAUAGAACUUUAGCAAGAUGAAGUGUUUUAUGUGUCUGGCGUGUUCCUUUAAAAAAAUGGGAGCUUUUUAGUACUUUUUCAAUGGCCAUUUAAAUGUAAGGGGAUGGACGGACACUCUCUCUCUAUUUACUGUUACACAAACUGCAUCCACAUUACUCACAUACUCUGCAUCCACUACACACAUACAAACACACACACAUUGCAUCCACUAGAUACACACACACACUGCAUCUACUACACACACUGAACACACUGUAUCUACAAGACGCACUCUGCAUCUACUAUAGCCAAGUCACGAUGGCCGUGCCGAGGCUACUUAUACAUUGCCCUAAGCCUACUCAAUACCUGACUUAGAUAAUGUCAAACUUAGGCCCAUGUAUUUUGUUUAACGUUGGCAGCUCCCAAACCUUGUUCAUACACAGGCUUUUAUUUUACGACAUGAUAAAGUACUUGAACCCCCAUAGUAGCCAAGUGUCUUCUGGUUGAUACUGCCUUUUAGAAAAAAUUGGACGAGGUUCCCUAGGUAGAUACAGCACUGAGGCGGUAAUAACAUGGGAAAUAUAUGCUAAUCAAUUUUCACCAGAUGGUUUAUUACAGGUGCAUCUGUGCAACUAGCUCACCGAACCUGGGAGUACUAUCGACCUGACAACAAAGGCCCAUUUACCUGGCAAGCUCUUUGCUGAUGGCUGUCUUCACACCACAUUAUAUAUACGGAAUGCACUGGAGGUCUUACUAUGUUUGUUUCAACACGCAGAACUUGAUGAACCUUUUG
rnacentral:lncRNA from 1 species